AGUUUGAUCAUGGCUCAGGAUGAACGCUGGCGGCGUGCCUAACACAUGCAAGUCGAGCGAUUCUCUUCGGAGAAGAGCGGCGGACGGGUGAGUAACGCGUGGGUAACCUGCCCUGUACACACGGAUAACAUACCGAAAGGUAUGCUAAUACGAGAUAAUAUACUUUUAUCGCAUGGUAGAAGUAUCAAAGCUUUUGCGGUACAGGAUGGACCCGCGUCUGAUUAGCUAGUUGGUAAGGUAACGGCUUACCAAGGCGACGAUCAGUAGCCGACCUGAGAGGGUGAUCGGCCACAUUGGAACUGAGACACGGUCCAAACUCCUACGGGAGGCAGCAGUGGGGAAUAUUGCACAAUGGGCGAAAGCCUGAUGCAGCAACGCCGCGUGAGCGAUGAAGGCCUUCGGGUCGUAAAGCUCUGUCCUCAAGGAAGAUAAUGACGGUACUUGAGGAGGAAGCCCCGGCUAACUACGUG
rnacentral:rRNA from 1 species